CCUUUUCUUGUUCUGUUAAGAAAUCAAUUUCUCUGGGGCAGUAGCUAUGUUGAAGAAUUUUCUAGAGUUUAGACCUUGAACUCCUUUCUAAGGCAGUAGCUCGAUUGAGAAGUUUCAAAGGUGGAGUCUUGGUGUGUUGCUUACUGAAAUUGACCUCUGUUAUCUCUACUUUGAAGCUUAAACAUUGUUAUGAUUGAACAACUAUUUGUGGGCAUAUUCUACUUGUCACUUCUCUCUCGGCAGUGGCUAUACUAACAGAUGUUGGCCCUAUUUCUAUGUUCUCUAUGUUCUUGCUAUCAUGAUGCAAAGGUGUGGUUGUGGUGUUACCUCUUAUGUUAGUGAAGAAAAUGGGGCUGCCCUUGUUGUUGCUCUCGGUUAUGCCACUCUUUACUCCCUAUCUUGCUGAGAAUUUGAUGGUAUGCAGGAGGGUGUUGAAAGUCGUGUGUGGGGGGGGGGGGGAUUUUUAUAGGCUGAUUGGUAUACUUGUGAGCCUUAAAUGAGGCUGCUGAGGCUGCUGAAACUCUUGUUUCUAUCCAGCAGCAUAUCCCUCUUUUCUUUGAUCUUUUGCAGCAACUUUAACUGAAGUUUUGGUGGUAUACUAAGGGUAUAAGGACUGGGCAUUCAUGAUAUUUGUCGCUGUGCAGGGGAGGGGAGCAGGUGGCUGUUUGGUCUUGGGCUGACUUGGUGUAGUUGGAGGGCGGCUAUUUGGGCUAGCUGAUCAGCAAGGAAUCGGUCAAGGCUAAGUUGCCACUCCAAAUGAGGCAGUCUCAGAUUUCUGGCAGCAAUGAGAGCUCUCGGUUGGGUACAUGGCUGUGUAGUAGUGUAUAUCCCAUUUGGAAACCAUUUAGACCCCCCUUUGGUAAAAUCUAAAGGUAGAUAAAAGAUAAAGGUUUCAAAAACUUGAAGAGGUGGCCUUGUAUCGAGACCAGGCAGUCGGCUGGCUGUACAGCCUUCGGCUGUCCUCUAAGUCCUUGGGCCGAAAGAAGUCUCGAGUUCGAGGGUCGGGGCCCAAAUCUUUGUAUAUUUGUAUUCUUAAAUUCUUCUCUCUUUUUUUUUCUAAACUCAUAACUCACAUGUGUUUAAUUAUGUAAGCUAGAGUGAAAUUUUGAUAGUAGUUACACUUCUUAGUUAGAAAAUGAACCCCCUAUAUUCUUUCUCGUUAGCUAUGGCUCGUGAAUAAAAAGGAAUAGCUUUGGUGGAUUCCAA